rnacentral:rRNA from 1 species
GAUUAGAGUUUGAUCCUGGCUCAGAACGAACGCUGGCGGCGCGCCUAAUACAUGCAAGUCGAGCGAGAAGACGUAGCAAUACGUUUGUAAAGCGGCGAACGGGUGAGGAAUACAUGGGUAACCUACCCUCGAGUGGGGAAUAACUAGCCGAAAGGUUAGCUAAUACCGCAUACGACUCCUGGUCUGCGGAUCGGGAGGGAAAGCGAUACCGUGGGUAUCGCGCUCUUGGAUGGGCUCAUGUCCUAUCAGCUUGUUGGUGAGGUAAUGGCUCACCAAGGCUUCGACGGGUAGCUGGUCUGAGAGGACGAUCAGCCACACUGGCACUGCGACACGGGCCAGACUCCUACGGGAGGCAGCAGUAAGGAAUAUUGCGCAAUGGGCGACAGCCUGACGCAGCGACGCCGCGUGGGGGAUGAAGGUCUUCGGAUUGUAAACCCCUUUCGGCAGGGAAGAUGGAACGGGUAACCGUUCGGACGGUACCUGCAGAAGCAGCCACGGCUAACUUCGUGCCAGCAGCCGCGGUAAUACGAAGGUGGCAAGCGUUGUUCGGAU